GACGAACGCUGGCGGCGUGCUUAACACAUGCAAGUCGAACGGAAAGGCCCUGCUUUUGUGGGGUGCUCGAGUGGCGAACGGGUGAGCAACACGUGAGUAACCUGCCCUUGACUUUGGGAUAACUUCAGGAAACUGGGGCUAAUACCGGAUAGGAGCUCCUGCUGCAUGGUGGGGGUUGGAAAGUUUCGGCGGUUGGGGAUGGACUCGCGGCUUAUCAGCUUGUUGGUGGGGUAGUGGCUUACCAAGGCAUUGACGGGUAGCCGGCCUGAGAGGGUGACCGGCCACAUUGGGACUGAGAUACGGCCCAGACUGCUACGGUAGACAGCAGUGGGGAAUAUUGCACAAUGGGCGGGAGCCUGAUGCAGCGACGCCGCGUGCGGGAUGACGGCCUUCUGGUUAUAAACCGCUUUCGCCUGUGACGAAGCGUGAGUGACGGUAAUGGGUAAAGAAGCACCGGCUAACUACGUG
rnacentral:rRNA from 1 species